rnacentral:misc_RNA from 1 species
GGAAGGAUCAUUAUCGAAUAAAUCUGGCAUGGUUGUUGCUGGCUCUUAGGAGCAUGUGCACACCUGUCACCUUUAUCUUUCCACCUGUGAACCCUUUGUAGUCCCAGGAUACCCUCUCGCGCACUCUGGUGUUGCGGAUGCGAAGAUUGUCGUGCCUCACGGUCGGCUUCCUUCGAAUUUCCUGGGUCUAUGUCUCUUACACACCCCUGUAUGUUAUAUAGAAUGUUGAUUUCAAAUGGCUUCGGCCUAUAGAAACUCAAUACAACUUUCAGCAACGGAUCUCUUGGCUCUCGCAUCGAUGAAGAACGCAGCGAAAUGCGAUAAGUAAUGUGAAUUGCAGAAUUCAGUGAAUCAUCGAAUCUUUGAACGCACCUUGCGCUCCUUGGUAUUCCGAGGAGCAUGCCUGUUUGAGUGUCAUUAAAUUCUCAACCUCACCUGGUUUUCGAACUUGUGUGAUGGCUUGGACUUGGGAGUUUUGCAGGCUGCAGUCUACUGCGGUUUGCUCUCCUUAAAUGUAUUAGCAGGUCUUGUACCUCUAUCCCAACGGUGUGAUAAUCUAUCUACGCUGCUGGUUUGGAGACCCUUUACUGGGGGACUGGCUUCUAACCGUCCGAAAGGACAAAUGACCAAUCUUGACCUCAAAUCAGGUAGGACUACCCGCUGAACUUAAGCAUAUCAAUAAGCGGAGGAAAAGAAACUAACAAGGAUUCCCCUAGUAACUGCGAGUGAAGAGGGAAAAGCUCAAAUUUAAAAUCUGGCAGCCUUUGGUUGUCCGAGUUGUAAUCUAGAGAAGUGUUACCCGCGCCGGACCGUGUAUAAGUCUCCUGGAAUGGAGCGUCAUAGAGGGUGAGAAUCCCGUCUUCGACACGGAUCCCCGGGGCUUUGUGGUACGCUCUCAAAGAGUCGAGUUGUUUGGGAAUGCAGCUCAAAAUGGGUGGUAAAUUCCAUCUAAAGCUAAAUAUUGGCGAGAGACCGAUAGCGAACAAGUACCGUGAGGGAAAGAUGAAAAGAACUUUGGAAAGAGAGUUAAACAGUACGUGAAAUUGCUGAAAGGGAAACGCUUGAAGUCAGUCGCGUCGUCUGGAAAUCAACCUUGCUUUUGUUGGGUGUACUUUCCAGUUGACGGGCCAGCAUCAGUUUUGACCGGUGGAAAAAGUCUAGAGGAAUGUGGCACCUUCGGGUGUGUUAUAGCCUCUGGUCGUAUACAUCGGUUGGGACUGAGGAACUCAGCACGCCGCAAGGCCGGUCUUCGGACACGUUCGUGCUUAGGAUGCUGGCAUAAUGGCUUUAAUCGACCCGUCUUGAAACACGGACCAAGGAGUCUAACAUGCCUGCGAGUGUUUGGGUGGAAAACCCGAGCGCGCAAUGAAAGUGAAAGUCGAGAUCUUUGUCAUGGAGAGCAUCGACGCCCGGACCAGACGUUCUCUGACGGUUCCGCGGUAGAGCAUGUAUGUUGGGACCCGAAAGAUGGUGAACUAUGCCUGAAUAGGGUGAAGCCAGAGGAAACUCUGGUGGAGGCUCGUAGCGAUUCUGACGUGCAAAUCGAUCGUCAAAUUUGGGUAUAGGGGCGAAAGACUAAUCGAACCAUCUAGUAGCUGGUUCCUGC